CCCUGCUCCUUACCUGCAACCACUCCUGACUUCUCUUUUCUUUCUCCAAGGACUGUGUCCAAAUGAGGCCGAGCUCUUCCUGACCCAGGUGACCUACACCGCCUUGGGGGAUACUGGCCAGUGCAUCCCUGGCCCCACCCCCAUAUCACAGAUGAGUGUUUUUGUCAGCUUCUCCCCAGAGUAAAAUCUUUCACUUUUCUGAUUGUGGAUAACGGUGACUGGCCCCAUGCCCUCUGCGAGGGGAGGCCUUGCCAGUCCCACAUGGGUGGGUGGACCUGCCAGUCCUUCCUCGGGCCAUCAGCCCAGGGUCAGCCUCCCAGAACCACUGAACAGAACCACCAUGGCUGAGUCUCAGCAGAGAAUCACAACAAACCGCCCCUACCCCGUCACGUUGGUCGCCCCGUGGCAAAGCGCCCCGUGUGGCCCUGGUCCUGUGUGGUGGGCAGAUCACGGGCCUGUGGGAGGGGCAGUGGUAUGACUUGCCCAGGGUCACACAGUGAGGCCUUAGCUCUCCGGCCACCUGCCCAGAAGGCUGUACUUCUUGGGCGGGUGCUGUACACAGGUAUGAGGGGUCCAACUUUCAGGAAAAGGAGGUGUGGCCUGGGCUCGGGCAGAUGGAGAGGUGGGGGCUCUUAGGGACACGCCCAUGCCAGGUGUGGUCAGGCUUGUCUCCUGCACUGCAGCCUUGACAUGUGUGGAACCACAGGCAUCCAAGCCCUGCUCUUUCAGCCCCUUGUAGCUGCCUUCCCAGCCCAUUUCUCAGAUUUACCAAUGGAAUCAGUGCUUGAGUGGGUUCCUGCAGCCCAGGGAGCGAGGAGCAAGACCCAGGGGGGACCACAGCUCCUAGCCUGGGACACAGUGGCAGGGCCAAGCUGGACAAGGAGUAGGGUGACCAACCAUCCUGGUCUGCCUGGGAGUGAAGGGGAUCCCUGGAACUUUCAGUUUGAAGACCAAGAAGGAAUUCCCUGAUGGUCCAGUGGAUAGGACUCCGGGCUUUCACUGCCAAGGGCCCAGAUGCUCCUGAUGAAGAGCAAAUCCCCUUCAGAGAUUCCAGCAGAUGCAAGACAGACGCUGGACACGCACAUGUCCAUGGUGGGCAGAGGAGUGGCUGGCUGGCCAGGGACACGCUGAGCUAUGUCCCCACCGUGGUGGUCAGCUUCAACCAUUUGUGGCCUUAAGGGAACUUGGUCCAGAUAUUACAAAUUUUCCAAGGUAAGCCAGAAGUGAGGCUUUUCUUGUAAACUCUCCUGAUUUUUUUUUUUUAAUUUUUUUUAUUUAACUCUCCUGAUUUUAAAGUGCUGGCCGACAAAUCAAGCCCAACAGCACAUAUCAGAGGCCUGUGAAUCUGCAAACCCCUAAGACAGCCACGCCCUGAUCAUUUAACAUCAGACCUGAAGGGCUCACCCACCACUUGUCACCUGGGGAGGCCGGGCCUCCAUUCCACAUGCUGCCAUGUACCCUCUUCAGAAAUGAGAGCUCCAAUCACAUUCUUUCCAGCAACCUCAUGGAUGCAAAUGGUGUUUUCACAAUGGAAUCUUGGAAAGAGAGCGAUCUGGAGCUCAAGUCUAGUGGUGACGAAGCCCAGAGGCUGGACUUUUGAGGUGACAAGGCUGGUCUCUGUGUGCUGCUGAGGCAGCUCCUAGGAGGUGCCCGAGGUGGACAGCUGAGGAUGGCUGUAAAUGUGAGUCUCUUCCGUUCCUACAUCAGCAGCUUUGCUUUUUAGCCAGUUUACACUUGAACGUGUAGUAGGUGGUUACUGACUCCUUCAGUUUUGCUUCUGAGACUCAAGGUUUGGGGAAAUUGAAGUUCCUGGUUCUGUGCUGCCCUUGAGUUCUGGGUCACGUGGCAUCUAUGUUGUCCCACCUCUAGCUCCCCUUGAGUGAGUUUUCCUGACCCCUUUGCUUGCCUGAGAGAUGCUCAGAGGCUCACACCUGGCAGGGCCUCAGCAUUGCUGGAAAGCUCCAGCCCUGCCCUCUGCCCCCUCCUGCUCCAGUUUCCGCUGUGCCUGGGGCCCUUGUUAGAAAUCAGAUUCCUAACCAGUUUGCAGGGCAGAAAUAGAGACACAGAUGUAGACAACAAACAUAUGGACACCUAGGGGAGAAAGUGGUGGUGGUGGGAUGAAUUGGGAUAUUGGGAU